UGGUGGAGUGAUUUGUCUGGUUAAUUCCGUUAACGAACGAGACCUUAUCCUGCUAAAUAGUGGCGAGAAAUACUUUUUCGGACACUUCUUAGAGGGACUUCGUGUGUCUAACACGAGGAAGCUUGAGGCAAUAACA
rnacentral:rRNA from 1 species